GACGGAGGGGGCAAGCGUUGUUCGGAAUUAUUGGGCGUUAAAGGGCUCGUAGCGGAUCCGGCCAGUUUCGACGUGAAAUCUCCACCGCUCACCGGGGGAGGGGCCGUUGAAUACUACGGAUCUGGAGUUCGGCAGAGGACCGAUGGAAUUUCGGGUGUACGCGGUGGAAUGCGUAGAUAUCCGAAAGAACAUCCGGUGGCGAAGGCGGUGGAUCUGGGCCUGAACUGACGC
rnacentral:rRNA from 1 species